rnacentral:misc_RNA from 1 species
UACAGCAGGAGCAGUGACCAAGAC